UACGAAGGGGGCUAGCGUUGCUCGGAUUGACUGGGCGUAAAGGGCGCGUAGGCGGAUAGUACAGUCAGGCGUGAAAUUCCUGGGCUCAACCUGGGGGCUGCGUUUGAUACGUGUUGUCUGGAGUUCGGAAGAGGGUCGUGGAAUUCCCAGUGUAGAGGUGAAAUUCGUAGAUAUCGGGAGGAACACCGGUGGCGAAGGCGGCGACCUGGUUCGAUACUGACACUGAGGUGCGAAAGCGUGGGGAGCAAACAGG
rnacentral:rRNA from 1 species